UCCGACUUGCCGCCAUAUUCAAGCGGCGAGAUUCUUUUGCCGCGGCGCCUAGCCUCGCGUCGUCAAUCUAACCGUUUUUCUUCCACGGUUUUUUUUCUCCGUAUUUUUCCCGCGUAUUUCCGUACUUCGACGAUUAUAUCGUGGAUUCUUGAUUCGCGUCUCGAGCCUCCACGAUUGUGUUGACGGAUUGUCGAUUUCACGGCACUUCCGUUCGCCAAAUAUGGUAACGCGUUGUAAGUCGCAACGUGGGCGUCGACAAAUUUUUUCUUCAAACAGGCUAUAAGCACGCGACAGAGUGAUGCCAGAUGCAACGCAGUCGAUGGAAUUACUCGCGAUUCUUCACAAAGUCCAGCGAUUCGAUGCUACAUAUGGGUAUUGCACCUGUCGUCUGACUCUUACAUCAGAUUAAUCGUUAAAUAUCGCAUCGAGCAUUUGGGAACUUCAAUGUCACGUUGUACAUUCAACAGCCUAAGUUUUUUCGCUGCAUUAUCCGAUCUGGAGGUCUGACAGAACGACGUUUCGAAGGUUUUCGACUUCUUUUUCAUCGCACAAACGCCCACCAUGAUGUAUAUCACAGAUUAUAGAGAGAACUGAGCUGCGUCAUCGGGGUUAUUGCUAAUCGACGUCGGCACAACUAAAUCCCAAUCUUUCGCAUAUACUAAUCCGGGCAGUUUCCGGUUGCGCCGAUGGCACUAAGCACCCUGGGUUGCCUAUCUGGAUUAAAGAGAGAUGCUACAAGGGAAGCUUGCGGAACAAGGUGACUCAUGGCGACCACCCGUGGUACGACCGUUUAAAGGAUUAACCCUUGAAGGUGCUAUCGUGUCAAAACAUCAAACUCAAAUAAUGGCUUGACUUCGAAAAGGCGGCACGAUGGGCGGACGCGAAUAGAAGAAAAGAAUGAGAACUAUGCCAGGGACUGGUCGUUUGCAAUUUCGAAUGUCAAAGAAAUUCAUGAAGACGUCCCCAAUAUUGAAAAUUACAGAAAACAGGUCAGCGCCAGAUACAGACAAUCAUCGCACUAUAGAUGAUUCUAAUGAUCGUUAGUAAGAGAAACUUUUUUUCAAAUAAAAUGAAAAGAUCAAGAGGAUCAAAGAGAAAACCCUAAAUAAUUUCCUCAGAAAGAUAAAAAAGUUGUCUUUUCCUAUUCCUCUGAACGUGAGUAAAUAGUGAAUCAUUUUUAAAGACUGUCAGAAAUUUCUUGGCAAUUUAAAUACCAUGGUACUAUAGUCACAUUUUGAUUCAUACAAUUUAGUCGAGAAAGAAGAAUCUCAGAUUCAAAAAAAAUUCUUCAAGUCUUUGAAUUCUGAAUUAUAGUUUAUUUUUGUUUUUCUAUAAGAUUAUUUUAGAGAAAUAAUAUUAAUGGAUGUCUAAUCAAUCAAUCAAGCAUCAAUCAAUGAUGCAUUAUCAAUCAAGAUAAAAAUUUUGUUUGAGAUAUGAGUUGAAGUAGCCGUACUCAUUGUAAUGGAAAAGUAACAAUUGAAUGUUUUGGAUUUGCAUUAUAACACAAAUUAAUUCGA